AGAUUGAACGCUGGCGGCAUGCCUUACACAUGCAAGUCGAACGGCAGCACGGGAGCAAUCCUGGUGGCGAGUGGCGAACGGGUGAGUAAUAUAUCGGAACGUGCCCAGUAGUGGGGGAUAGCCCGGCGAAAGCCGGAUUAAUACCGCAUACGACCUACGGGUGAAAGCGGGGGAUCGCAAGACCUCGCGUUAUUGGAGCGGCCGAUAUCAGAUUAGCUUGUUGGCGGGUAAAAGCCCACCAAGGCAACGAUCUGUAGCUGGUCUGAGAGGACGACCAGCCACACUGGGACUGAGACACGGCCCAGACUCCUACGGGAGGCAGCAGUGGGAAUUUUGGACAAUGGGCGCGAAGCCUGAUCCAGCCAUGCCGCGUGGUGGGAAGAAGGCCCGUUCGGUUAGUAAACCUACGUUUUGUACGAGGUAAGAACGGUACCUUACUAAUAUUAGGGACUAAGUGACGUACUGAAGAAUAAGC
rnacentral:rRNA from 1 species